rnacentral:lncRNA from 1 species
GCGCACAAGUUCACGUCAAUAUAUAUUGUGAUAAUACCGACCGUCCCUAGAGCAAGUGGCAAAGGGUUUGGUGGUUGGUAUCCGAGACCCAAGUUCGAAUCCUAGUUGAUUAAUAUUUUCAGUUAAAUUUAUUUCUAAAUGAAAUAAACGAAGCAGGUUAGUAAAACACACUUUUUGCUAUUAAGUUUUUAACCCUUGGAUGAAAAAUUGUAGGGUCAGAAUGAUAUUAGUCGGUUAGAAUUGAGUGGUCCAACUAGGGUUGAGUGGUCCCCACUGGCUUAUAGUAUUUAAUCCAAGGAUUAGAAAUAAUGAAAAGAGUUGAUCCAAAUGCUAAAAAACUUGUAGCAACAAUAGGAUUUUGCUACUAAUAGUAGCCCAGUCCAACUCUCUCUCUCUCUCUCUCUCUCUCUCUCUCUCUCUCUCUCUCUCUCUCUCUCUCUCUCUCUAUAUAUAUAUAUAUAUAUAUAUAUAUAUANCAUUCCUUCAUCCAACGCCGGGUCUAUACCUAUAUGAGUCCGGCUACUAUACUCUUGUGAGUACGAUCGCCCUUGUCCUCAUAAUUUGUUUUCAAUGAUAGAGCUUCCGAAUCGACGUUCCACACUAUUAAACGUAUCUAGAGCAUUUAAAACGUCUAGAAAUCAAAUUUUAUAAUUCUUUGACAUCAUUUACCUUGCGAUCAAACGGUCACAAAAUUGACAAUUUUUAACGGCCAGUAUGGAAUAUUUGCUAGUUUAACGGUGAAAAAGAGUCGAAAUAGGUUGAAUUUUUGAUAGAAAAUUCUAUUCACUAUCUAAAUAAAGAUCAAUAACUCCGAUCUUAAAUUGAAGGAUCCGAUCAUCCAUUUUUAGGAUGUCAUUCGAUCUUAACCGUUCAUUUUAUACUCGCUUGAUUGAUUUUAUAAUGAUUUCGAAAAUUUAUGAAGUUUAUUUUCUAGAAGUUUCAAAUACUCUAAAUCAUGUUUAACUGUCACGCCCCGGGACCCAGCGGAAGCCCGCCCGGCGCGUGCCCAGACUCGCCAUAUGUCUACAAAAUAUAAGGCGUCUAAAAACAACAAUAAUAAAGCAAUAAUAAAAGACAUCUAGGAGUAUCAGAGCUUAAUAAAUGUCUAAAUGCUACAACCAAGGAUGAGGAUAAAUUGUAAAUCCACUAAAUAAGACAUAAAGUAAAUACAAUAGGAAACCCCAAAUACAAGUGCUAUAGGUAGAUACACAGGUGGUCUCUAUACAUGGAUACAAAAACUCUCACUCUCUCAACUACAAAAGAAAGAGUAAACUACCUAGGCAGAGUACCGCUCCUCGCUAGCUAGCUACGCGAUCCCCUUGCAGCGAUCCCGUGCCUCCGCCGGUGCAGAAGGCUCUGAAAAGGAAACCAUAAAACAGGGGCGUGAGAACUAUUAAAAAUAGUUCCCAGUGGGCAAUUACUGACUUCAGUGAAUGCACCACAAGGCCCAAAGCUACAAGGAAAGUGGUCAGCAACAAUAAAAACAGUAAAGCGAAGUGCAAGUAAAAGUGUAACUUACUACAACAUGAAGUCUCUACUUAGCAUAAUUUGCAUAAGUAAUAAGGCAACUAUAUCAUGGAUGUACAUGGAUAGGUAUGACAUGCGUAAUCAUAGAAAUGCAACCAACCCGAUGUCCUUGAUGCAAAAAUAGUAAAGAUGUCAUAGUUUACUAUCCUAUUUCAAGUCCACUUUAACAGUUUUAAAGUUUACAUAUCAUAGUGAAUACUCAAAGUCAAAUCUGAAGAGACCCACCCGAAGGCUGUCUAUGGCCCUGAGACCCACCCGUAGGCUGUCUGGCCAGUGCCGAGCCUAAUGGCCCCGUGGUAGUCAUCAUCCCCACCCUAGGAAUGAGCCUGUCCCACGGCAAUCCACUUCGGCGCCCAAUCCCGCACGGCGAAUAUGAAUCGCGAUGGCUAUCUCCGGAGUGCCGGCUUGUAGGGAGCGACCCUCACAAGCAUGUGCGAAUGAGCACAAUGGCAAGUAGUCAUACGUCCAGUCACAAGUACCAAGUCCUCAUGUCAAAUAACAUGGAAUGUAUCGAAUGUCCCAAAGGCCUAUCUCUAUGUCAUCAUGUCUCUAACAUGGAAUAUAUAGCAGAUGUACAAUGGC